AAAAAAAAAAACAUUUUGGGGGAACGAUUGACUGAGGCCUUUCUAUUUUUUUCCAGAAUUUCUAUUUUAGACAAUGUGAUAUUGCUAAAACUUCCUUCGGUAAAAUGCUGGAAGAGUACAAUCUGCUUUCAGAGACAAGAACCGGAGAACUAGGUUCAUGGACAUUGCUCUUUCUGGAAGGAUGGUGUGCAGCUGACCAGAAUUUAGAAAUGCGGGCCAUGAAAAAAACACUGAAAAUGGACAACAAAUGGGAGGAGCUAAGACAGAGGGGUUAGAAAACCUUCAACGGACCUGUCAGCAACAAAAGCAAAGAUGAGUUUGGAAAACACAACUUCCACUUCAGAUUUUCUUGUACAGAAUUAAAAACAAAAUACACAAUUGACGAAACACAUUGAUGAUUAAUAUGUAAUAAGCUUCACAAAACAAGACACGUGCAUGACAACUGUAAGUCCCAGAAUUGACAUAAGAUUAAUUGUGUUAGAAAUGUGUAUUACCUCCAGUUGCCUCUAGGUGGCAAUAGUGAUUUAGGUGUAGUUAAUUUCUGCGUUCGAGGGGCUGUCACGUUAGUCACGUUCAGUAAGCAAGGGACGACCCUUAGCAAAAAAUAGUAUACCUGAAGUUCAUUUUAUGAAGUAUACUUAAGUAUAAGCUUAAGUCUUAGUUUUAAUGUAGGCCUCCUUAGUCUUAUACUAUACCAUUGUUAAGCAUAUACACUAUAGUUUAUAAAAAGUAAACUACAAGUAUAAUGGCUCAUUUUAAGUAUGAAAUAAGUAUAAUCGUAGUACACUUGAAUAAACUCCUUUUUGUUAAGAGGAGGUUUUUGAUGUGACGGAGCUUCACCUUUUCUGACUGCAGUUUUAGGUCUUAAGAAUUAAGAACAUGUAGACAAGUGAAUAUAAUUAGUUUAUAAGCAUUUUUGAUUGUUUGCACCGUUUUAUUUUGCAUUUUUAUUUUUUGAAGAAAUAAAUCUUAAGUUGGAAACCUAAAACGCGAGUUGGAACGUGAUUUCGUCGGACCGUGUGGCUCUACAUAUAGUCAGAAAAGAGCUCCUAAUGGAUUAAGAAACCCAGUGGAUGUCCUGAAGAGUGUAUUCAGUCAUCUACAUGCAAGUAUUGACCUCAAGUUUGGAUUUCUGUCGAAGGAACAAGUAAGAAAUGCGUCUGGAUUUGCUAAUGGAGUUAGUCAGACUCAGCUAAAUUUGCAUAUUACCGCUGUCAGCUAAUGCUAGUUCUGAGGGAAUUUGGAAAGCUCUCGUAUGGAAAAUUACCUUAUAUGACGAUUAUUGGAAUUGUGCUUGUGGAAAAGAGGGAUAUUUGAAGAUUUAAAAUGCAUGAACAAAGUAAUGCUGUUGUGCGUUGUAAGAGGACAGUAAAGCUGACUCCUAAAGGCAUUGAACAAAAGCUUAGCAUGACAUUGGCUGAAACGAAAUCCAAGUUUGCACAUGUCUGUCGAAUGAUGAAGGAUAUGGAUGCCCUAAUGGAAAAUGUAAAUAAUGCUGGUAUAGUUUCCCGGAAACUAUCAACAGAGUUUACAGAUGUGUACAUGCAAUUUUGCAGUCUGAAUAACACAGCAAAAGAAUGUAUGUCUGAAAAGCAGACAGACCAGAAAAACUGGUAUGAAUCUAGAACCAAACAUCUUAAUGGUUUUGUGGAGGAUGUUCAGGGAUGGUUAAGAGCAGCUGCUUAGCAGACUAAAGAAGCAAGACAGUAUGAUGCUGAAGUGAGCCCUGAAGAUAGUGCUUCGAUGGUCAGUUUACCACACAAGUUGAGGGCAUCUCUUCAUAGCAGAGCAGCUUCAGUUGUGUCUUCAACUGCUUCUUCCACAAGACGUAAGUACGAGGCUGAAAGAGCAGCUUUGAUUGCACAGGCUAGUGCAUUGAAACAAAAACAAGAAAUUGACAGAGAAUUGGCUCAGUUACAAGCAAAGGGCCUGACUACAGGCUGUGGAUGAGGCCUGGCCACAGGCUGUGGAUGAGGCCUGGCUACAGGCUGUGGAUGACAGUGCUUUAAAGCUGCGGGGAGCCGGCACUGGAGACUGAGCCUUUAAGCUGCGGGGAGCAAUUUGGAGAAAGCAGCUGCUAACAAGCUGAUUUAUGUGCUGCUCUAUCGACAUCGCUCCAUCCAUGAAGACACCCAAGUUGCGCAGGUUGCUUUUAACAGUGCAGCUCAAGUUUCCGAGGUGCCGCUUAAUUCCAGGCACAGCACUGUCAGGAGCAACAAUCAAAGUCUCGGUCUUGUUGGAGUUUAGUUGCAGGCUGUUCUCAGUGAGCCAUUCUGUCACUUUGACCAAACAAGUAGUGAGAGCGCAAAGUUUAUGUGACUCAGUGGGCUUGAAGGAGCAGUACAUUUGCAGAUCAUCCGCAUACAGAUGAUAGGACACAUCACUGAACUUCUGGAUGACCCUGCUCAGAGGAAGCAAGUACAGCAGGAACAAAAUAGGUCCCAAGACCGAUCCCUGCGGCACACCCCACAAAAGCUCUGCAGAAUCAGACACAGCAUUUCCCACUGACAUACUAAAAGUUCUGCCAACCAGGUAAGAGGUGAACCAUUCCAAAACGCAACCCGAUAUUCCAACCAAGUGUUGGAGUCUACUUAUCAGGAUGCCAUGGUCCACUGUAUCAAACGCCGAUGACAGAUCCAACAAAACCAGCACAGAAUAUUUGCCGUGUCAGCUGCCAUCAUAAUAUAACUAAAAACCUUCAACAGGGCUGUUUCAGUGGAGUGGAACUCACGAUACCCAGAUUGAAAAGUGUCAUAAAUGUCAUUUACCUGCAAAAAUUAUCUAAGUUGGAUACAGACUACUUUUUCCAGGACUUUGGCCAAGAAAGGGGUCUUGGAUAUUGGCCGAAAAUUCUUGGGUUCGGAAGAGUCCAGUCCCGCUUUCUUUAACCGUGGCUGUUGGAAAAAUGUGAAUGUAAUCAUUUUAUUUCUAUCAAGUUACAGGUAUUUGGUUUGUUUUAAGAGUUUGCUUUCAGGAAGGUUCUGUUGUAUUUAACCUCAGACAGGAAUAACAAAUAAUUCUACUCAGAUAAGGAGUGCCUUGCUCCCUUCUUUGCUUUCCACCCCCAUGCUGUAAAUUCCUGAAGCCUCCUGACCCUUUUUCAACCCUCAUGUUGUAGCCUCCUGACCCAACCCACCUGACCCUUUUCUCCUGAUGUGUGAUAAUAAAGACAGAAGGACAGAGAUGACCCGGCGGCAGACGUUCCUAAACCUUAAGGGAGUGCAGUUCUCCGUUUGGGUUCCUCUGUCCUUUUCUAUAGAAAUGUCUAAAACUUGUGAUGUGUGGUUUUCAUUCUAGGAUAAAAGGGGUUAUAUUUAAUAACCCUAUCAGCCUGGUGCCGUGACGCGGAUCCCAACAUAUCAGCUCGCUGACGAGAGGAGCGGACACGCUGAAACCCACCGGUGGUCUGAGUCAAGGACCUGUCUAAAGUCCCGGGAGGUAACUUCCUCGCUGGGCCAGCGUCAUAGGUUAACUCCUUUCGCCAACGAGGGAUUGACGGGAUCUGACCGGGAGAAAAGCACACCACAGCAAGAUCCACAAGCAGUGAGACCAGGAGACUGGGUGUUUAUCAAAAUCAUCAGAAGGAAGGACUGGGCGAGCCAAAGGUGGGAAGGACCAUUCCAAGAGCUCCUGACCAUGCCAACAGCUGUAAAGAUCGCUGAAAGACCUUCCUGGAGUCACCUCAGCCACUGUAAGUUACAGAGAGUGUUAAGUGCCUAAAGGUUGGAACAGUGGGGAAGUCCGAUUUACAAAGGGGUUUGGUUUUUUAGGGCCACUCGUCUCAACGUCGGUGAAGAAAUCAACUGAUCCCUGUUCUUUAGAGUCCUGGGUAAAAUUAACAUCUCUGCUAACCUAGCAAAAAUGGGGUUCCCAUACAGAUGGGGCUCCUUUGCGUUGUGGCUGUGCGUGCAUUAUCUGUUUGAGUCCAGAUCCGCUGAGUGAGAGAGGAAAGAGGUUCAUCCACUCCGCUGCCAUGAAGAUUUGGCUGGGUGAUAUCCCAAACCACUACGAUGACGACCUAUGGGAAACGUUUGCAAGAGCUGCAGUCCACUAGCAUAACAAGACUGACUGCUACGUGUGUUCUGUCAUGCCUAAAUCUACCAAGCAGCCUACCUUGUACAUAGCCUGUGAGAUGUUCAUGGGGGUUAUUUGUUUUGCAUCAUAUGCAUUCCAGUUUAUGCCUGCUCAAUUAUUGAAUGCCACGACUGGGAAGAUUAUGAUGGAACGAGUGUGCAAAGGAGUAAAGUCGUCACUGUUCUCUAACAGCAAUGUUACAGGCUAUCCCACCAAGAUGAAGGCUGUUAUGCCUAAAGGAAUGAAACAUCCAGUGUAUUCACUCACCUAGAGAGAACGAUAUGGUGAAGGUAGGACAUGCAGCAGGAUGCCAGAGUACCAUCACUGACCUUUACUCUGACUUUGUCUGCGGUAUUGUCCCUAAUGGAACGUACACCAGCUGUUCUACGUGGAAACCACAAGUCAACUUUCCUACAGAGGGUGGCUGGUUCCUGUGUGGAGGAGACAGCAUCUAUCCAUUGUUGCCUGUAAACUGGUCAGGUACAUGUGCACCUGUGUUUGUUUCUGACCACACUAUCAUCAUCUCAGCUCAGGCUGUGAAGGACCAUCACUCCUCUGAUAGGAUGAAAAGAGAACUCAGCUCCAGCUCAGUGUUCCAACCCCAUGAUCCCAUGUGGGGUUCCAACGUUCCCUCUGAACAUAAGCACUGGCGUACAGGGAGUAAAAUAGGACUUUCACUUUCCCGUGGUUUGGAGUUGGUAAAUCUAUGCUGAUGAUUGAGACAUUGGACUAUAGAAUGAAGACCCUGGCAAACAUGACGAUGGACAUCAAUAAAGGACAAAACAAACAAUUAAGUGAAAUGCGUUUAAUGGUACUGCAAAACAGAAUGGUUUUGGACAUGUAAACUGCUAGCCAAGAUGGCGUAUGUGUAAUGAUUGGAAUUUCCUGCUGUACGUACAUUUCUGGUGUAACUGAAACUCAUAUUACUGAAGCUAUGUCUGCUUUGAAGAAUCUGCAACAAGCAAUGUCCCAGGAUGCUGUUCCUCUAAGUAUGGACUUCUUUUCAGGAUCGUGGUGGAACCUUUUACUAAAAAUAAUGACACCUAUUA